rnacentral:lncRNA from 1 species
CUUCUUCUGCUUUUCACCUUGUACACGGACUUCUGCACUGGUGACACAUAGCUCCUUAUAUGAUGUAGCAAGUUCAUCAAGGGUCAGAUCAUCUGCACUUGAAUCAUCAUCAGUGACACAAACACUAGUUAGUGCAGUGACAUGUUUAGCAGAUUCUCCUUCAGAUUCACUCUCAGAAUCUCCCUCAGACCAUGUGACAGCUAGCCCCUUCUUUUGCAUCUUAAGGUAGGUAGGGCAUUCAGCUCGAAUGUGUCCA